CAGCCCCUGAGCCGCCACUGGGAGAUGCCGCCGGACCUGGCCCUCAUCAAGAUGCUGAUAGGAAUCGGGGGCUUCGUCGUGGGCUUCGUCUUCCUGGCGCUGGGGCUCGGCUUCUACCUGCGCAAGAAGAGCUCCUGAGCCGCCGCCGGCCGCAGCCCCUCCCCGUGGCCUCGGGCCCGCCCGGGACCCCCC